rnacentral:rRNA from 1 species
UUUAGUUUUUGUGGGCGUUUGGUGGAUGCCUUGGUGCCUAGAGCUGAUGAAGGACGUUGUGGCCUGCGAUAUUCCCUGGGGAGUUGGCGAGCGAGCGUUGAUCCGGGGGUUUCCGAAUGGGGUAACCUGACAGGUUUUGUGGCCUGUUACCACUGCUUGAAUGUAUAGGGUGGUGGGGGGAACGUGGGGAAGUGAAACAUCUUAGUACCUGCAGGAAGAGAUAUUCUGUGAGUAGUGGCGAGCGAAAGCGGAUGAUGGCUAAACUGUGUGCGUGUCAAGGCGGCAGCUGUUGCGCAUGUGGGGUUGUUGGGGCGUGUUUUUCCAUUCUCUGCCGGGGGUGGGGGUAGUUAUAAAUGGUUGUGUGGAGCUGAACAGUUUGGGAUGGCUGACCGUAGGGCGUGAUAGUCGUGUAGGUGGUUCAUGCAACUCUGCCUGAGUGUGUUCCCAAGUAGCAGCGGGCUCGUGGAAUCUGCUGUGAAUCUGCCCAGACCACUGGGUAAGCCUGAAUACUUCUAGGUGACCGAUAGUGUAGUAGUACCGUGAGGGAAUGGUGAAAAGUACCCCGGGAGGGGAGUGAAAUAGUGCCUGAAACCAAGCGCUUUUAAGCCGUCAGAGCCGGUCGGCCCCUUUUUUGGGGUUGUGGUGAUGGCGUGCCUAUUGAAAAAUGAGCCUGCGAGUUAGUGAUGCGUGGCGAGGUUAACCCUUUGUGGGGUAGUCGUAGCGAAAGCGAGUCUUAAUUGGGCGCCCAGUCGCGUGUUCUAGACCCGAAGCGGGGUGAUCUACCCAUGGCCAGGUUGAAGCGAUUGUAAAAGGUCGUGGAGGACCGUACCCACCUAGGUUGAAAACUGGGGGGAUGAGUUGUGGGUAGGGGUGAAAGGCUAAUCAAACUCCGUGAUAGCUGGUUCUCCCCGAAAUGCAUUUAGGUGCAGCGUUCUGCGUGUGUUGUUGUGGUGGUAGAGCUACUGGUUGGUUGAUGGGCCGUUUUGGUUACUGACGUCAGCUAAACUCCGAAUGCCAUUGAUAAUUGCAGGGCAGUGAGACUGCGGGGGAUAAGCUUCGUAGUCGAGAGGGAAACAGCCCAGAUCAUCGGUUAAGGCCCCUAAGGGUGUGCUGAGUGGGAAAGGAUGUGGAGUUGCAUAGACAACCAGGAGGUUGGCUUAGAAGCAGCCAUCCUUGAAAGAGUGCGUAAUAGCUCACUGGUCAAGUGAUUCCGCGCCGACAAUGUAGCGGGGCUUAAGCACACCGCCGAAACCGUGGCAUGAAACUUUUUGUUUUUUGGGUAGGGGAGCGUCCUGACUGGGGUGAAGCAGGCCUGUGAGGGUUUGUGGACUGGUUGGGAGUGAGAAUGCAGGCAUGAGUAGCGAGUGGUGGGUGAGAAUCCCACGCGCCGAUUGACUAAGGGUUCCAGGGCAAGGUUUAUCCGCCCUGGGUUAGUCGGGUCCUAAGGCGAGGCCGACAGGCGUAGUCGAUGGAUGACCAGUUGAUAUUCUGGUACCGGUUUUUUCUUGUCCAGUGCUGACAAAGUUGUGCUAACCAACGCCGUGAUGGUGGUGAUUCCUUCGGGUUUUACCACCUAGUGGUCUUGGGGUCCCUUCUUGGGUAGGCAAGCGUGUUAACAGGGGUGACGCAGUAGGGUAGCUGAUGCUGGCCGGUGGUUGUGCCAGUCUAAGGUUGUGGCCCGCAUGCUAGGUAAAUCCGGUGUGCUGUCUUUAAUGAUAAGGGUGAGGGCUGAUGGGACUGCCACUUAUAGUGGUGGUUAUUGGUGUGCCUGUGCUGUCUAGAAAAGCCUCGACGUUAGAGGAAAACCGCCCGUACCCUAAACCGACUCAGGUAGUUAGGUAGAGUAUACUAAGGCGUGCGAGUGAAUCAUGGUUAAGGAACUCGGCAAAAUGCCCCCGUAACUUCGGGAUAAGGGGGACCAGGCCCGGACAAGUACUGUUUUUCUGGUUUUUGUUUGGGUGUGGUCGCAGUGAUUUGGAAGAAGCGACUGUUUACUAAAAACAUAGGUGUGUGCGAAGCUGUAAGGCGAUGUAUACGCACUGACGCCUGCCCGGUGCUGGAAGGUUAAGCGGAAGGCUCAACCCCCUUGUGGGGUGAAGGUUUGAAGUUAAGCCCCAGUAAACGGCGGUGGUAACUAUAACCAUCCUAAGGUAGCGAAAUUCCUUGUCGGGUAAGUU